UGGGGAAUAUUGCACAAUGGAGGGAACUCUGAUGCAGCGACGCCGCGUGAACGAAGAAGGCUUUCGAGUCGUAAAGUUCUUUUAUAUGGGAAGAUAAUGACGGUACCAUAAGAAAAAGCCCCGGCUAACUACGUGCCAGCAGCCGCGGUAAUACGUAGGGGGCUAGCGUUGUCCGGAAUCACUGGGCGUAAAGGGUUCGCAGGCGGAAAUGCAAGUCAGGUGUAAAAGGCAGUAGCUUAACUACUGUAAGCAUUUGAAACUGCAUAUCUUGAGAAGAGUAGAGGUAAGUGGAAUUUUUAGUGUAGCGGUGAAAUGCGUAGAUAUUAAAAAGAAUACCGGUGGCGAAGGCGACUUACUGGGCUCAUUCUGACGCUGAGGAACGAAAGCGUGGGUAGCAAAAAGG
rnacentral:rRNA from 1 species